rnacentral:pre_miRNA from 1 species
AAAUCGCCCCUAAGUUUUGCCACUGUAGCACUUUUGGCCCCCCAAGGCAAAAAAAAAAAAAAAAUUAACGCGUGGCACCUCACUUACGGUGCCACGUCAACGUAGACCGAAUCAAAAUUGGCCUUGGGGGCCAAAACUGCCAAUAGUGCAAAACUUAGGAGGCGAUUU